rnacentral:rRNA from 1 species
GUGGGGAAUUUUGGACAAUGGGCGCAAGCCUGAUCCAGCCAUGCCGCGUGCAGGAUGAAGGCCUUCGGGUUGUAAACUGCUUUUGUACGGAACGAAAAGACUCUGGUUAAUACCUGGGGUCCAUGACGGUACCGUAAGAAUAAGCACCGGCUAACUACGUGCCAGCAGCCGCGGUAAUACGUAGGGUGCGAGCGUUAAUCGGAAUUACUGGGCGUAAAGCGUGCGCAGGCGGUUAUGUAAGACAGAUGUGAAAUCCCCGGGCUCAACCUGGGAACUGCAUUUGUGACUGAAUAGCUAGAGAACGGCAGAGGGGGAUGGAAUUCCGCGUGUAGCAGUGAAAUGCGUAGAUAUGCGGAGGAACACCGAUGGCGAAGGCAAUCCCCUGGGCCUGUACUGACGCUCAUGCACGAAAGCGUGGGGAGCAAACAGGAUUAGAAACCCCGGUAGUCC